rnacentral:rRNA from 1 species
GACGAACGCUGGCGGCGUGCUUAACACAUGCAAGUCGAACGGAAAGGCCCUGCUUGCAGGGUACUCGAGUGGCGAACGGGUGAGUAACACGUGGGUGAUCUGCCCUGCACUUCGGGAUAAGCCUGGGAAACUGGGUCUAAUACCGGAUAGGAGCCAUUUUUAGUGUGAUGGUUGGAAAGUUUUUUCGGUGUAGGAUGAGCUCGCGACCUAUCAGCUUGUUGGUGGGGUAAUGGCCUACCAAGGCGGCGACGGGUAGCCGGCCUGAGAGGGUGGACGGCCACAUUGGGACUGAGGUACGGCCCAGACUCCUACGGGAGGCAGCAGGGGGGAAUAUUGCACAAGGGGCGCAAGCCUGAUGCAGCGACGCCGCGUGGGGGAUGACGGCCUUCGGGUUGUAAACUCCUUUCGCUAGGGACGAAGCUUUUUGUGACGGUACCUAGAUAAGAAGCACCGGCUAACUACGUG